GUGGAUUAGAUACCCGGGUAGUCCACGCCGUAAACGAUGUCGACUAGCCGUUGGGAUCCUUGAGAUCUUAGUGGCGCAGCUAACGCAUUAAGUCGACCGCCUGGGGAGUACGGCCGCAAGGUUAAAACUCAAAUGAAUUGACGGGGGCCCGCACAAGCGGUGGAGCAUGUGGUUUAAUUCGAAGCAACGCGAAGAACCUUACCUGGCCUUGACAUGCUGAGAACUUUCCAGAGAUGGAUUGGUGCCUUCGGGAACUCAGACACAGGUGCUGCACGGCCGUCGACAGCU
rnacentral:rRNA from 1 species